rnacentral:rRNA from 1 species
GACGAACGCUGGCGGCGUGCUUAACACAUGCAAGUCGAACGAAGUGGCGAACGGGGGAGUAAUACGUGGGUAACCUGCCCUCCUGUUUGGGAUAAGCCAUGGGAACGGGGUCUAAUACCGACUAAAGGGGGAUGGGCUCGCGGCCUAUCAGCUUGUUGGUGGGGUGAUGGCCUACCAAGGCGGUGACGGGUAGCCGGCCUGAGAGGGUGAACGGCGACAUUUGGACGGCGAUACUGCCCAGGCGACUACGCGGGGGGGCAGUGGGGGAUAUUGGACAAUGUGCGAAAGCCGCAUGCCGCGACGCCGCGUGGGGGAUGAAGGUUUUCGGGUUGUAAACCUCUUGCGGUAUUGAACGGGUAGGUGGAGAAGAAGCGCCGGCUAACUACGUGCCAGCAGCCGCGGUAAUUC